GAAAACCAAGCAAAAGUCACUGUCAGGGGACCUCCCACCCACCAUACAGGGGAACACUCGGCAGAGCCAGAGGCCUGGGCCCAAGUCCUGCCACCAGCUGGCUGUGAAACUGUGGUACAGCACCUUGUGUCCUGCCACCAGCCGGCUGUGAAACUGGUACAGCACCUUGUCCUCAGGUCCUUGGUUUCCUCACUUGUAAAUUCAUGGUUCUCCAUGGCAUCUCUGGUCUUCAACAUUAUUUUGCAUAGAGUCUCAGAAGCUUUAGUGUGAGCGGAUGAUAUGGGCACGAAGCAAGGCACCCAGAAGUGGGGGCAACUACUCUGCUUUCUAAAAUGCAAGGGAACCGGAAAAUCCAGGAGCCGUGCCAAAUGAGAAGAGGAACAAAUGGAGGAACAUCCCAGUCAAGUGACAUUCCUAGUGACAUUCACCAGAACAGAGUCAAGCUUUGGAUCCCAUGUUCUGUGACUUCCUCUUCACCACGCUUCCUCCACACACGUAGCAGCUCAAGGGUUUCUGAUGAGUGGGGUCUAUGUUCCCUUUAUGAGCUGUAACGCACACCAUGAAGGUCUGCGGCUUGGCUAUUGAGUCAGUGAGAGCGUGAACCUACUAUUAGAAGAAAAACUCUGAAUACGUCUGAACGUCAGAAAGAACGAAGUUUGGACACAUUGUCUUUAAGAACUGUAACACUCACCCCAAGGGUUUAUGGAUUCAUUCUUGAAAUCAGUGAAACCAAAAGCUUUCCAAAGUUUAACACACAGGGAAAUGACUUACUGCAAAGAACCACUCUUCCCCACGAGACUUCGAGAAGACCCGCUGUCACGGACUGAGUUGUGUCCUCUUAAAAUUCAGAUGUUGGAGUCCAAACCCCCAGUAACUCAGAGUGUGAACGUAUUUGAAGAGGUCUUUAAAGAGGUGAUGAAGGUCUUUGUCUCUGACAAUUUGCCUCUGUGACGUGGAUGGGACUGGAAGUCCAUUUGGAGCCCUGUCUUCUCCACCUAGGGAGAGAGACCCCAUGAGCUCGUCAAGCUCCUUCUGUGACUGAUCAGAGAUCCCACCGUGAGUCCAGCUCCUGGUCCCAUGCUCUGGAUAUAUCGGUCCCUGGCAGCGUGCAACUCCUUAGCCAAAGACGUGGCAACUGCGGGUGAAGUAUCUCUGGGCAGGAAAUCAAUGCAGAAAUGCAACUGGGGAGAGGGGGCUUGGGGGCCAGUUCCAGGGAGAUUGGAACUGCUGUGUUCUCAUCAGCAGAAGUGGCCCCUGCCCACCCCCAUCCUAAUCCCUUCUCAUGUGGGAGAAGGUCUGUGAGCCCUCUCCCUACCAGGCAGGUUCUAUGGCAAUGUGGGCACAUACCCUGGGGCAGGGGCCGAGGGACUUAACUCACUUCAUGAGCGCCAAUGGAGGAGCGAAGGGAAUGCCUGAUGAAAACAACAUUCUACCAGUAUGCACUGUUUUCUAACCUACAGAGUGCCUCUGUGUUCACUGUCCCAUUUGAGAAUUCUAAGUAGAAUUCUGAACAGGCUGGAGCAGAUUGCCCACCCCAAGGGACAGAUGUUGGCUGGUACUGUUGGUAUUCAUGGAAGAUUCCUUCUGACACUCCCUCCUUCUUUGUAAUUGCCAUGAACUGGAGCACUGGGCCAAUAUAAAUCAUCCAAGGGUGAACACGCUGCACAUGGACGGCUCCUCUUUGUUUUUGAAGGGAUUCCAUCUCUAUUUUGCCAUGUGCUCCUUCACCCCACUCCCCACCCCCGUCUUUCAUUUCUUUCUCUGGAAAAGAUACUUCAACUCACAGGACUGCGAUGUUGAAACGGACACCCAAGAGCAUCACAGAUGGGCCAGGCCUGGACCUCUCGGGACAACAUUCCUCACGACUUUUAGAUAGAAGAGAUUAGAGAUUUGGGACUGGUGGCAACUGGUAACGUUUUCAGUGUUUGGUAAACAGCCAGGGUCCGGAGCUCUGGGAACAGCCUGAUUUAGCUCUUUGUUUAAGUUUUGUGUUAGAGGCUCCCAAGAAGCUGAUGCAGGGGAAAGAAAUUAACAACCAUGGCUCAUUCACAGCCAGGCAGCCAAAUGGACAGCUCUAUAAGACUCAAGCCGACAGCGGAGAGAGUGCAACCAAACAGCCUUGGCCCAGCUUUCAGAGGAGAACGUUAUUCACCCCAACUGCUCUGCAUCUGCCUGGAUGUCUGCCAAGAUCUGUGAGCAUUACAGCGUUGCAGUCUUCUUUCCACCAAUGACCCCUCGCGCUGCUUCCAGAAGCCAAGAAAGUGGGCUUUGUCCUUGGGGAUUUAGGAGGCGGAGCGGCGCCCCCUUGAGGCCACAUGGUGGAGGCAGCGAUGAGACCUGGAGUCUAAAAUUCAGACUGAAUCACAGGAAGAAGCUAUUUACACAAGUCAAACAUGGUCCAAUCUUGGCAAUUUCAUAAGGUUCCAAUCCUUAAGGGAUCAAAACCUGGCCAACUGCUUCCACCGAGAGGUGUGCCUUUCAAUGCCAGGCUUGGAGUGUCCCUCUUUAUUUAAAAAGGAGAGGAUUCCACAGCAGAGCUUCUCAAACUCUUCCACCCAAAUCCCCUCACCACAGAGGGACAGGAGUCCUGGGCAUGUAGCCUAAAGCAGCCAGGAGAAAAAAACCUUGACCUUAAUUUUUUUAAUGAUUUCACAUGAAUCAGUGGAAUGUGUUUAUGAUAAAAUCAUCUCCUCCUGAAAUACAUGUGUAAAACUGCUGCCCCAGUUAAACGCACUUAGUCUAACCAAGCCCUAGGAUUGGCCUCUCCAGCAUGAGAAGCAUUUCCAGCACUCCAGCUCCCCAGCUCCCACUCUGGGAUCCCACCUCAGACCCUCCCACUUCCUUGCACUCUGGCCUCUCGCUCUUGACCCUGCUCCCGCCACGCUCUUUCCUCAGAGUCCAUCAGUCCUGUCUUGUCUUCACCUUGGUCUCUGCCAAGUGUGGGUCCAAGUCAUAUAUUUGGGCUGUGAUCACAGGAACCCCAAGCCCCAGACCUCCCAAAGCACCCUAUGGAGAGACCUUACCCUCCUGGACAGACCCUCUCCCCCCAGCUAGACCUCAUCCUCUGGGUAGACCCAUCUCCCCAACCAGAACUCACCCUCCUGAGUAAACCCCAUCCCCCUAGCUAGACUUCAUCCUCCUGGACAGAUCCCAUCCCCCCAGCUAGACCUCACCCUCUUGGGUAGAUGCAUCUCCCCAACCAGAACUCUCCUGGGUAGACCCCUUCUACCCAGCUAGACCUGAUCCUCUGGACAGACCCCAUCAUCCCAGCUAGACUUCUCCCUCCUGGACUGUCCCCAUCCCCCCUCCAGCCAGACCUCACCCCUCUGGGUAGACCCCAUCCCCCCAACUAGACCUCACCCUCCUGGAUGGACUCUACCCUCCUGGAGAUACCUUCCCCUCCUGGGUACAUCCCACGUGGCUACACACUCCUUCCCCUGUCAGCUUUCUCCCCCAGGGUUCUGGGCAGCAGAGUCUGUGAUAAAGGAUACUAAGUGAUUCCCCAAUACUUCCCGUUUCCAGCCUCCAGUGGGCUCUCCCUGGGGCUAACGGUUCUUUUUGCUAUUUCUCCAGGCUUUGCCUGAUGACAAGUAUACUCUGAGAGUGUCCUAAUGAUACAGAUUUUGGACCCUAUCCCAGUUCUACUGAAUCCAAGUCUCUGGGGGAGGAGUUGGGGCUCUGCAUCUGGACACCUUCCUGCAGGGUCCCUCCUGGGAGGCAAGCCCGGGGAGCACCGCUGAGGCUCGCCUCAGUGCCCAUCCUAGACCUUCAGCAGCUAGCAGAGGAUGUCCCCACCAUCCCUCAGCCCACACUCCCACUGUCGCCCCAGCCAGGCUUGGCACUGCCUCCUUUCUCAGAAGAUUAAGACCAUCUGCUGUUUCCCAAGUUUCCCACCCUCCACCCUAAAAAUUUCUCCGUUUCCCAGUCUUUCCUCGUCUCUCAGAAAAUAAACAUCUUCCCAGGCUGCCUCCCCAGUGGGUCUGCACUCCUUGCUGUCUUCCCAGCACCUGCCCUUCCAGCCCGCCCUCUGUGUGUCCAGUGUUUCCCUCACCAAAGGACUCGCUUUGUUUUUCAAAUUGGAGGUUUUGUCUUCUCCCUAAAAACCAAAACAUCUCCCUGAGAAGUAACUCCCUCAAGCUACUGAUACGGAAGGGGGGCGGGGAAGUGCUGGGAAGGGAAGGGUGUGGUCCCUGGCUAGGGCUCCACCCCCGGGCCUGUGCCCACAGACCUAGGUGAGGACAGGCAUUUCUGUUUUCGUGCUUAAAUGUUGGAUUUCCCAAGACUACCCUGGCCUACCACACCCUCAUUCUGUGCCUGUAAAAAAACCUGAGAGCUUAGCAGGCACGCACACAAGCCUCUGGACGUCAAGAGGAACACACCGGUGUAAGAGCAGACUGAUAGUGGCCCACGGCAGGCUGGCAGGCCAUCGACAGGCAGAACCACUCAGUGCAGCUGGAGGACAGCCUGGCCACGGAGCGGUCCGACUUCAGAGGGGAAAACCACCUCCCCACUCCGUCUCCCUUCUGGCUCCCCCAUCUGAGAGCUACUUCCACUCAAUAAAACCUUGCACUCAU
rnacentral:lncRNA from 1 species